rnacentral:misc_RNA from 1 species
AAUUCUCAAUCUCUACAACUUUGUUGUUUAGUAGAUUGGAUGUGGGGGCUUCUGUGUGGGAUCCCAAUCCCUCACUCCCCUUAAAUGUAUUAGCCGGAAUGCCUCUGCAUGUCUGACUAUCAGUGUGAUAAUUAUCUAUGCUGUAGUUGUUGCGUGAGGGUAUCUGCUUCGUAAACUGUCGAAGGACAAUGUUAAUGAUCA